rnacentral:rRNA from 1 species
UACGUAGGCAGCAAGCGUUGUUCGGAGUUACUGGGCGUAAAGGGUGUGUAGGCGGCUCCUUAAGUUUGGUGUGAAAUCUCCCGGCUCAACCGGGAGGGUGCGCCGAAUACUGAGGGGCUAGAGUGCGGGAGAGGAAAGUGGAAUUCCUGGUGUAGCGGUGAAAUGCGUAGAUAUCAGGAGGAACACCGGUGGUGUAGACGGCUUUCUGGACCGUAACUGACGCUGAGACACGAAAGCGUGGGUAGCAAACAGG